CUGGCUCAGAACGAACGCUGGCGGCGUGCUUAACACAUGCAAGUCGAGCGCGAAAGGGGACUUCGGUCCUGAGUAAAGUGGCGCACGGGUGAGUAACGCGUAGAUAACCUGUCUUCAUGUCUGGGAAUAAUACGCCGAAAGGGGUACUAAUACCCGGAUAUUCUUGCUUUUCAUAAGUUAUGCAAGCAAAGGUGGCCUCUGCAUAUGCUACUGCAUGAAGAGGGGUCUGCGUACCAUUAGCUAGUAGGUGGGGUAAUGGCCUACCUAGGCGACGAUGGUUAGCGGGUCUGAGAGGAUGAUCCGCCACACUGGCACUGGAACACGGGCCAGACUCCUACGGGAGGCAGCAGUGAGGAAUAUUGCGCAAUGGGGGAAACCCUGACGCAGCGACGCCGCGUGAGUGAGGAAGGCCUUCGGGUCGUAAAGCUCUGUCAAGAGGAAAGAAGUGUACAAUGGCUAAUACCUGUUGUAUUUGACGGUACCUCUAAAGGAAGCACCGGCUAACUCCGUGCCAGCCGCCGC
rnacentral:rRNA from 1 species